UUGGAGGGCAAGUCUGGUGCCAGCAGCCGCGGUAAUUCCAGCUCCAAUAGCGUAUAUUAAAGUUGUUGCAGUUAAAAAGCUCGUAGUUGAAUUUCGGGAUCAGUUGGUCGGUCGUGCCUCGGUACGUACUGGUCAAAUUGAUUCCUACCUUCUGACGAACCACGAUGUCAUUAGUUUGGUGUCGCGGGAAAUCAGGACUGUUACUUUGAAAAAAUUAGAGUGUUUAAAGCAGGCUCGCGCUUGAAUACAUUAGCAUGGAAUAAUGAAAUAGGACGUUUGAUUCUAUUUUGUUGGUUUCUAGGAUCGACGUAAUGAUUAAUAGGGAUAGUUGGGGGCAUUAGUAUUCAAUUGUCAGAGGUGAAAUUCUUGGAUUUAUUGAAGACUAACUACUGCGAAAGCAUUUUGCCAAGGAUGUUUUCAUUAAUCAAGAACGAAAGUUAGGGGAUCGAAGACGAUCAGAUACCGUCGUAGUCUUAACCAUAAACUAUGCCGACUAGGGAUCGGACGAUGUUAAUUUUUUAAUGACUCAUUCGGCGCCUUACGGGAAACCAAAGUGUUUGGGUUC
rnacentral:rRNA from 1 species